UCAAUUACAAUGGUUGGAGUGAAUCAUUGAUCAAUCAAUACAAUCACUUAGGGUGGAGCAGAUCCUUUGAACACUGAUUUCUGUAAAGCCCUAUAGCUUCCCGCUUGGGUUGCUGAC